rnacentral:rRNA from 1 species
ACGGGUGAGUAACACGUGGGCAACCUGCCCUUGAGACUGGGAUAACUUCGGGAAACCGGAGCUAAUACCGGAUAAUAUAAGGAACCUCCUGGUUCCUUAUUGAAAGAUGGUUUCGGCUAUCACUUAAGGAUGGGCCCGCGGCGCAUUAGCUAGUUGGUGAGGUAACGGCUCACCAAGGCGACGAUGCGUAGCCGACCUGAGAGGGUGAUCGGCCACACUGGGACUGAGACACGGCCCAGACUCCUACGGGAGGCAGCAGUAGGGAAUCUUCCACAAUGGACGAAAGUCUGAUGGAGCAACGCCGCGUGAGUGAUGAAGGCCUUCGGGUCGUAAAGCUCUGUUGUUAGGGAAGAACAAGUGCGAGAGUAACUGCUCGCACCUUGACGGUACCUAACCAGAAAGCCACGGCUAACUACGUGCCAGCAGCCGCGGUAAUACGUAGGUGGCAAGCGUUAUCCGGAAUUAUUGGGCGUAAAGCGCGCGCAGGUGGUUUCUUAAGUCUGAUGUGAAAGCCCACGGCUCAACCGUGGAGGGUCAUUGGAAACUGGGGAACUUGAGUGCAGAAGAGGAAAGUGGAAUUCCAAGU